rnacentral:rRNA from 1 species
AUUGAACGCUGGCGGCGUGCUUAACACAUGCAAGUCGAUCGGUAACGCGGGGGCAACCCUGGCGACGAGAGGCGGACGGGUGAGGAACGCUUGGGAAUCUGCCUAUCAGCGGGGGACGACACGGGGAAACUCGUGCUAAUACCGCAUACGCUCUACGGAGGAAAGCCGGGGACCGCAAGGCCUGGCACUGAUAGAUGAGCCCAAGCCGGAUUAGCUUGUUGGUGAGGUAAUGGCUCACCAAGGCGACGAUCGGUAGCUGGUCUGAGAGGAUGAUCAGCCAGACUGGAACUGAGAACGGUCCAGACUCCUACGGGAGGCAGCAGUAGGGAAUUUUCCACAAUGGGCGAGAGCCUGAUGGAGCAACGCCGCGUGCAGGAUGAAUGCCUUCGGGUUGUAAACUGCUUUUAUGUGCGAAGAAUUUGACUGUAACACAUGAAUAAGGAUCGGCUAACUACGAGCCAGCCGCCGCCGUAAUAC